GGCGUGCUUACACAUGCAAGUAAGGGGAACGAUCUGCUUCGGCGGAUCAGUAUACUGGCGGACGGGUGAGUAACGCGUAGGCAACCUGCCCUUGUACCUGGGAUAGCAUGGAGAAAUUGGUGCUAAUACCGGAUGUUGUCUUGUAUACGCCUGUAUAUGAGAUAAAAGGUGCUUUUGUACUGUACAGGGAUGGGCCUGCGUUCCAUUAGUUAGUUGAUGAGGUAACGGCUCACCAAGGCGACGAUGGAUAGCUGAUCUGAGAGGGUGAUCAGCCACACUGGGACUGAGAUACGGCGCGAGACUCCUACGGGAGGCAGCAGUGAGGAAUAUUGCGCAAUGGAGGUAACUCUGACGCAGCAACGCCGCGUGGGGGAUGAAGCACUAUGGUGUGUAAACCCCUGUAGGUAGGGACGAACGGCAUAUAUUCGUAAGGGUAUGUGUGUGACGGUACCUAUAAAGUAAGCACCGGCUAACUCCGUGCCAGCAGCCGCGGUAAUACGGGGGGUGCGAGCGUUGUCCGGAAUUACUGGGCGUAAAGGGCGUGUAGGCGGUGCGGACAGUCAGAUGUGAAGGGCUCCGGCUUAACCGGGGAAUGGCAUUUGAAACUGCCGUACUUGAGUGCGAGAGGGGGUAGUGGAAUUCCCAGUGUAGCGGUGAAAUGCGUAGAUAUUGGGAAGAACACCAGUAGCGAAGGCGGCUACCUGGCCCGCAACUGACGCUAAGGCGCGAAAGCGUGGGGAGCAAACAGGAUUAGAUACCCUGGUAGUCCACGCUGUAAACGAUGGGUACUAGGUGUUGGUUGGUCGUAGACCGAUCAGUGCCGGAGCGAACGCAUUAAGUACCCCGCCUGGGGAGUACGAUCGCAAGGUUGAAACUCAAAGGAAUUGACGGGGGCCCGCACAAGCGGUGGAGCAUGUGGUUUAAUUCGAUGCAACGCGAAGAACCUUACCGGGGUUUGACAUGUCGGCGGCGCCUAUAGAGAUAUAGGUUUCCUUCGGGACGUUGACACAGGUGCUGCAUGGCUGUCGUCAGCUCGUGUCGUGAGAUGUUGGGUUAAGUCCCGCAACGAGCGCAACCCUUGUCCCUAGUUGCCAGCGAGUCGUGUCGGGGACUCUAGGGAGACUGCUGGUGAUAAACCAGAGGAAGGUGGGGAUGACGUCAAGUCAUCAUGGCCCUUACAUCCCGGGCUACACACGUGCUACAAUGGUCGGUACAACGAGUGGCGAGGUCGCGAGUCCAAGCUAAUCUCUAAAAACCGAUCUCAGUUCGGAUUGCAGUCUGCAACUCGACUGCAUGAAGUCGGAAUCGCUAGUCCUCGCGGAUCAGCAUGCCGCGGUGAUACGUUCCCGGGCCUUGUACACACCGCCCGUCACGCCAUGGGAGUCGGCAGUACCCGAAGCCGGU
rnacentral:rRNA from 1 species